rnacentral:rRNA from 1 species
AGAAUCAACGCUGGCGGCGUGCCUAACACAUGCAAGUCGAACGAGAAGGGGGAGCAAUCCCUGAGUAUAGUGGCGCACGGGUGAGUAACACGUGAAUAAUCUACCUCCGAGUGGGGAAUAACUGAGAGAAAUCUUAGCUAAUACCGCAUAACACUUACGAGUCAAAGCAGCAAUGCGCUUGGAGAGGAGUUUCGCGGCCGAUUAGUUAGUUGGCGGGGUAAUGGCCCACCAAGACGAUGAUCGGUA